UGGUUUGACCUUUUCUUUCUUUCUUUUUUUUUUUUAACAAAAAAUAAAAAUCUGUUUAUGAAUCAGUGAGACAUUCUAUAAUAUUCCUAAGGAAAAUCUUACAGAAUAGCUUCAAAAUUACUUCUGGUCUCCUUUAUUUUUCUCAUAAUAUUACUUUCUCAGCUUCUUUGUAUGUCAGUACCAUAAUCCUACUGUUUUAACCAGCUGAGGUAGAAUCACUGUAUCACUAGCACCCUCCAAUGGUAAAUCUUGGGUUUUCCUCCCCGAAGUGAAGAUAAGUUUGAGCAAAAAUCUGUCUUCCUGUCUGACAAAGAGCUUCCAAAUUUUGUUCUAGCUCACAUCUCACUUCUUUCCAUCAGAACUCUGCUAAACACCUUCCUAGACAUGAUUAACAAAAUAAUCUCCAUUUUAUUUUGCAGUCACUUUUUCUUUUUCUUUUCUCCAUAUAAAAGAACUAUAACAGCUUUCUUCCAGGAUUCAGGCAUGGUGGAGCCUUCCUAUACUAAAUAAAUUAUUCAGCCAUAAGCAAGCUACAUUCUACUUUUAAUAUUUCCACACUGACCCAAUGUAUAUAUGCAGCCUUACAUUUUUUAUAUUCUCACAAUAUUUAUAACUUCUUUUUAUUUUUCCCUUGCACAUUAACAUUUGUAACAGUCAUAAUCAGAACAUUUCAACAGGAAAUAAAAUCACAGAAAUAAUCAGGUUAAAGUUGGUUCAAAAUCUGGCAGAUUUACAAAUGCUCAUAUAUAAUAAAGCCUCUACAGACUGCCACUGAUUUCUAUAAUUUGAAAUUAACAUGUUUUAUUAUCUCAUUACAGGUUGCUACACUUGUACAUUGCAUUUCAUCCUUUUGAAAAACUCAAGCAUGGCGUCCAUUCGUAUUUCUCUACGUUAAACUAUGGACAUUUCUUUGGAUCUUACUCUGGGUCUAGGCAUAAAACAGCCAUGGCUCUCUUGAUCUCAGAGUAAUCUAGACUAGGCUGUUUCUGAAUCAGGUCUCUAAAACAAAUUGGAUAGUCUAUGCUCACUCCUAACUUGUAAUAAUUCAAGUUCUGAUUAUUCCUUUUAUUUCGCGCCAAAAAUGACAAUAUUGAAUUAGAGGAUUUCUGCCAUUAUUAAGUUCAAUGCAAACCAUUGCAGAAGUAAGCUACACUACCCAGUCAAUAACCUAGAUAUUCUGUCCUCUUGACCUCACCAUCUAUCCAAAAUGCUAUCAUUAGGGAGAUUGAUUUCUGAUCGUAUUGUAGAGCCCAUAAACAGCAGCAGCUGUGUUGACCUUUAAGAGAGAAAUUCUGUUAUCUAGAGAGGCAAUCCUAUUAGUGGGGCUGCAUUUUUUAGAAAUCUUCUUCAGGUAAAAUAGCUAAAACCCCAGGAAAAAAAAUCUAGGGAAGACAAUGUGUCUGAUAUUUGAGCCAUCCCUGUACAUGUUUAUACAGUAUUCUUAGAUGAAGCAUGCAAACAUUUCUCUUAUUAGAUAAAAGGUUAUCUAGGGUCAUUUUUAAUUGAGAAAGGACCAAUUAAUAACUGAAUCCCCUCCUCUUUUUUCUUUUCUUUUUUCUUUUCUUCUUAUCAUGACAUUUUAUGCAAGUGCUUUGUUGCAUAAAAUGUUGUCGGUCUUUCAGGUGUAUCACUGCCACUUGCAACAUGCCUGAGCCCUGGAGCAAUUGAUCAAAGUUGAAGUUCUUUGAAGCUUCUGAAUUACAAUAGGAUACAUUUGUUCUGUUCCUCGGUUGUGUUGUGUAAGUGUCUAUAGUUCUCAGAGGCAUCCAGGAUUAACCUUGAUGGUCACAGGAGAUGACCAGGCAGAGCCUGAAGGUGGAGUCAAACACAUCAUCAGUCUGAAAUCCCUACGAUCCUAAAAGAUACCUAAGUCCAGCCCUCCUUGAAGUCCAUUGAUUCUUAUCCAUGCCAAUUUGCCUUAACUGUUAGUUGAUCAGAUUCUUGUAUAGGCUUCAGGGAAUAAAUUUGCAGUGCUUUUGAAUUCCUGGUUUCCUGA